AUUCAGCUGAUGACUCUCAAAUAAGACGGAACGCGUGUUCUGGAU
rnacentral:hammerhead_ribozyme from 1 species